rnacentral:tRNA from 1 species
GCCUGGGUGGCUCAGUCGGUUAAGCAUCCGACUUUGGCUCAGGUCAUGAUCUCACGGUUUGUGGGUUCGAGCCCCACGUCAGGCU